AAAUUCACUGAAGUUCCAAUCAAAUUCUCAACAAAACUUUUUAUGGAAUUUAAUCAACCUAACCUGAAUGUGGAAAGACAAAGCUGAGAUUUUUUUUUUUUAAACAGGAAAAAUAGGGGAGUACCUAUCAUAAAAGACAGUAGGGCUUAUAAAACUAUAGUGAUAACACAGCCCUUGUGAUGCCAGGAUAGACAUGUAAAUCUAUGGUACAGAAACAGAUACAUGAGAACUUGAUACGUGACACAGUGGAGAAAUUAGUAACUUUUCAAUAAAUGGCACUAGGACAAUUGCAUGUCUGUAUGUGAAAAAAUUAUAUACCCUUCUCACACCAUAUUUUUAAAAACUGGUAGAUUAAAGACCUAAAUGUGGCGGAGGGGGGAGGGGGCGGGAAUACCAUUUUAAAUAUUUUAGAAGGUAAUACAGGAAAAUUUGAACCAAUGUAAGGAAGGAGUUGUUGGAUGUGACUCAAAGUGGGAACCAUGAAGAAAAAGAGUCACACAUCUGACUAUAUUAAAACUAGAAACUUAAGUAUGACAAAAGACACUGAAUAUUAGAGGGCCAGCCACAGACGUGGAAGGUACUUACCUUGCAAUUAUCUACCAGGAACUGACAAAGGAAGUGUCCAAAUUACAUAAAGGACUACUUAAGGGGGGAAUAAAUGAGUGAUAUAUGAGAGAGAACCAAAAGGUCAAUUAACAGAAAAAUGUUUUAGCUCACUAGGAGUCAAGGAAAUGCCAGUCAGCACAGUUAGAUACCAUUUCACAUCCAGUCAGAUAAUAUCAGGGAUUGGCAAACAUGUUGAGAAAAUAAUUCAUACUUUAGUAAAGUUGAAAUUACAUAUUGCUUAUAACAGCAGUUCAACAUCUGUCUUUUUAUAAGACUAAAGUUUUGCAUCAUAUUUAGGUACAGAAAUUGUCAGAACACUUAAAGCUUGUAGGCAUUUGUUGCUGGGAGAAGACUGAAUUGCUUUUUUCAAAAACUGGAAAUCACAUUGAUGUGUUGUAAAAGAGAACCUUAGAUUUAGAGAGGGAAAAAAAACUACAGUAUUUUGUUAAAUUUAUCUACAUUUAAAGAUACUAAUAAAUGCAGUUUAUGAACUACCAGUCUCCUAUAUUGGUCAUAUUUUGACAAGUAAAGCUUUUUUUUUCAUAACGUCAAUAUUCACACAGAGGUUACAGUUCAGAUUAGGAGAACAUAUGUAUGAUAAAACAAUUAGACUAAAAAGGUCCUUUCUUUUUAUAUGAAAUGGCAGAAAAGCAACAGCAGUUUAUUGCUUAUGACAGAAUACAUAUGAUACUCGAAUAUUUCUUGAGAUCUUUGCUUAAAUCUAGUAUCUAUACAAAAUUUUUAUGUUCGCUAGAUUGUAAAUUCAGUUUUCUUACUAAGAAAGACUGAAAUUUAUUAAUAAUUUUGGGGUUCUAGUGAUUAGCAUUAGAGACUGAUUUGCUUUUAAAGAGAAUCGCAUAUUUUAUAUAUUUCCAAUUUUACAUACUUCUGAAAGAACAUAACUUUGUCAUUAAUAUAUGGCAUAUGUAUACAAUGAAAAAUGUACAAGGAUGUUUCUUACAGCAGUUAUUGAAAUAGCAGGAAGAAAAAGGUAACUUAAAAGACACUUAGCACUAGAGUCUCCAGUCACAUCUACUCCCUGGCCCAUGAACUAAGAACGUUUUUAACGUGUGUAUGAAAGGAGUGACUUAAUAGAUCUGGCGUGUUGAAACCUGCACCUUUCAAAGAAAGGUCUAGCCCUCAACUUGCUCCUGGGAGAUCACAGCGCUAAGCCCCUGGAAUAUCCUGCCUGAUGCAAGGCCUUUGUUUACCUGGGGCCUUGGAUCACACCAGAUAGUUUAUGCUACAGAUUUAUGGUGAGGGCAUUGCACCUUGCAGUAUCAAUUUAAUCGCCGGGGGAGGUGGAAACUGAAUAACAUCUGCCAUUUCUGUUCUCCAUGCCUAUGUGACUAACACCCAAUAAAAACCUUGGACACCAAGUCUCAGCUUCCCUGGUUGAUAAUAUUUCAUAAAUGACCCACACUCAUUCAGAGAGGAUUAAGUGCUGUGCAUGCAUCUCCUGUCAGAUGGGACAACUGGAAGCCUGUCCUGCUCUCUUCUGAACUCUUUCCUAUCUGCCUUUUAAAACUGUACUGAUUUUAAACUGUACUUUUGCUCUAAUAAACUAAUUGUCAACGUAA
rnacentral:lncRNA from 1 species